CUUAUAGGAAUUUUUAGCAACUGUGUCGUUAUAUUUUGCUGCUUGGUUUGAAUUAAGGAGCGAGGUGAGCGUUAUUUCAUUCCACUGUUGGCUAUUGUAGAUGUGGUUGGAUGCUUUGUAAGUUGCCCAUUCUAUAGCAUGGACAACACAUUCUACUAUAAUUAUCCAAGUGACAUAGUUUGUCGGAUUUUUACAUUUUUACAAGCGUUUGUGGCAGGAUUUUCAGGUCACGUUUUAGGGGUAAUUUGUGUCCAAAGAUAUCUUUUAGUAUGCAAACCAUAAGGGCCAAAAUUGACAUUAUUUCGGAAAAAUGUAUCGUUUACAACUGCUUUUGUUUUGUCGUUAGUUUAUACUGCACCGCUUUUAGCAAUAUCAGGAAUUAAAAGCACGGAUGAAUUGUUUCUGAAUCAUACAGUUCAAACAACGCUUUGUAAAUACUAUGCCGAAGAUACUUCAGCAUCCAUUACAGCAUACUUUGGAUUUCUGGUUUUGAUCAGUGUGGUAAAUAUCAUUAUUGAUGCAGCACUCUUCAUUCCUGUUCUAAGGAGAAUAAACAUAUCUUUUUCUGGGAACAAGAGGAAAAAUGUUUAUCACAUAAACCAAGACAGCAAUACGUCGUCUAACACGAAAUCGGUUUCUCAGUCAAAAAAGACGUGUUCAAUCGAUUCCGAUACACUUAAGUCUGUAUCAAACCAAACAAAAACAUGUGGAAUUGGUGUAACGAAGUUCAUUUCAAAUCCUGAUGAAAAGUAUAAAAAGAAGGAUUUUUAAACAUAACAUCUAAUAAAGAGCCAUCUCUUGAUGAUGUAGAAAAUGGAACAUCUUUCGAUAAUACCACCAAAUCUGAGGAUAUAGUACCAUCGAACAAUGAAAAUAACCCGGAUGUAAAUCAAAGACUAGGAAAGAUGCCGUGAAAAGAAGAAUAACCAUAAUGUAUUUUGUCAUAAUUAUUACCUAUAUAGUAUCAUAUAUACCCUCUUUGAUUAUUUUAAUACUUGCUUAUGCAAUAGGAGAUUUUAAUGUCAUAACAUUAACAAAGGGC
rnacentral:lncRNA from 1 species